GAUGAACGCUGGCGGCAUGCUUUACACAUGCAAGUCGGACGGGAAGUGGUGUUUCCAGUGGCGGCCGGGUGAGUAACGCGUAAGAACCUGCCCUUGGGAGGGGAACAACAGCUGGAAACGGCUGCUAAUACCCCGUAGGCUGAGGAGCGAAAGGAGGAAUCCGCCCAAGGAGGGGCUCGCGUCUGAUUAGCUAGUUGGUGAGGUAAUAGCUUACCAAGGCCGUGAUCAGUAGCUGGUCCGAGAGGAUGAUCAGCCACACUGGGACUGAGACAAGGCCCAGACUCCUACGGGAGGCAGCAGUGGGGAAUUUUCCGCAAUGGGCGAAAGGCUGACGGAGCAAUGCCGCGUGGAGGUAAAAGGCCUACGGGUCAUGAACUUCUUUUCCUGGAGAAGAAACAAUGACGGUAUCUGGGGAAUAAGCAUCGGCUAACUAUGUG
rnacentral:rRNA from 1 species